rnacentral:rRNA from 1 species
AGUGAACGCUGGCGGUAGGCCUAACACAUGCAAGUCGAACGGCAGCACAGUAAGAGCUUGCUCUUACGGGUGGCGAGUGGCGGACGGGUGAGGCAUACAUCGGAAUCUACUUUUUCGUGGGGGAUAACGUAGGGAAACUUACGCUAAUACCGCAUACGACCUACGGGUGAAAGCAGGGGAUCUUCGGACCUUGCCCGACUGAUUGAGCCGAUGUCGGAUUAGCUAGUUGGCUAGGUAAAGGCCCACCAAGGCGACGAUCCGUAGCUGGUCUGAGAGGAUGAUCAGCCACACUGGAACUGAGACACGGUCCAGACUCCUACGGGAGGCAGCAGUGGGGAAUAUUGGACAAUGGGCGCAAGCCUGAUCCAGCCAUACCGCGUGAGUGAAGAAGGCCUUCGGGUUGUAAAGCCCUUUUGUUGGGAAAGAAAAGCAGCAGGUUAAUACCCCGCUGUUCUGACGGUACCCAAAGAAUAAGCACCGGCUAACUUCGUG